GGAGAGAUGGCUGAGUGGACUAAAGCGUCGGAUUGCUAAUCCGUUGUACGAAUUAUUCGUACCGAGGGUUCGAAUCCCUCUCUCUCCGAUCCCCC
rnacentral:tRNA from 1 species